GCCGCCCGGCUCCUUGCAUCCCUCUCCCCUGCAAACUCUCCUCCUGGAGGGAGAGGGAGCGGCCAGGAUCCCCCCAGUCCCCGGGACCCUCCAGGAGCUCCUGUGAACCACCCGGGACUGCCUAGAACCCCCAGGCCCCCGGGGCCCUCCAGGACUUCCCUUAGCCGCCUCGGGAACCCCCAGGACUCCCCCAGGACAGCCCACAGGGCUCCCUCGAUCCCCGGGACCCCGCAUCGCCCCUCGCCGGCAUCCCCCGCCUGCGUCCGCUGGGUCCUAGCGCACCGCUGAGCCGGACGGGGAGGAGGAGGAAGAGGAGGAGGAAGGAGACCAGGCAGGGGAUGGGGGCUGCAGCAUUUCCUUCUCUGCUGGUGUCACCUGGCACUGCCAUCCCCUGUGAAUACCUGCCACCACCCACUGCCUGAAACAUGAGGAACGAGAGGUCUUCAUUUUCCUGAGGUCCCCAAAUGGGAAUGGCCAUGUCCCUGGUUGCUGGCAGGGCUGUUUUUGGAAAGGGGUGUCUGUGCAGCCCCGUGGCCAGAUAAAUAAGAAGCUUCAAACCUCAAUAAGUGCAAACAAGAAACCCGGCCAGCAGACCUGUCGGGCCCACCCUGUGUGUCUUGCUCUGCACGUGGUGGCAACUCCUGGGAAAAAUGGCAGCUGUGGAUACAGAUCCAGGGCAACAUCUCCACUGGUGGCAGCUGAAGCAGAUUUGAACGAGUGACAGGCCCCUGGCAGCAGGGUCACGGCAUCAGGGGCUGGCAUUGGCCACGAUGAACAACAGCAAGGAAGUUUGGUGCCCAUCACCAAAUGCUCCCCAGCCCCCUUGGGGCACCUCGGCCCUGCCUCUGCCUCAUUGCUCACAAACCUCCGACCCUGAACUUCCAAUUUCACGAACAGCCAAAGCCAGAAGCCAGAUGUGGUGACACACUUCCCUGCAGUCAGGGACAGCAAAUGAGUGAAUAAGCAGGAGCAGCACUGACCAGCAGGAAUUUUCCCUGUGGAGGAGGCGGAUGCUCAGGACCCGGGUGACAGUGACGGGACAAAGCCUUGUCCCCCAUUUCCUCCAGCCUAUGGGAUGGGAGGGAUGUGCUGAGUGAAAACAAAGGCAACAAGAGCCCCAGUGAGCAGGAGCGAGGGUGUGAGUAUGGAGGGACUCUGAGGGAUGAAAAUCCCUCAGCAAAUAACGAGACUUGUACAUUGGUCCUACUUAAUAAAAAAUAUGUG